rnacentral:rRNA from 1 species
UAAGGGAUAUUGGGCAAUGGACGAAAGUCUGACCCAGCAACGCCGCGUGGAGGACGAAGGAUUUCGGUCUGUAAACUCCUUUUGUCGGGGACGAGAUAGGACGGUACCCGACGAAUCAGUCACGGCUAACUACGUGCCAGCAGCCGCGGUAAAACGUAGGUGGCGAGCGUUAUCCGGAUUUACUGGGCGUAAAGGGUGUGCAGGCGGGCUGUUAAGUGGUGCAUGAAAUCUCCGCGCUUAACGUGGAGAGGCUGUGCCAGACUGGCAGUCUAGAGUACGUGAGAGGGUUGUGGAAUUCCGGGUGUAGUGGUGAAAUGCGUAGAGAUCCGGAGGAACACCAGAGGCGAAGGCGGCAACCUGGCACGUUACUGACGCUCAUACACGACAGCAUGGGGAGCGAACGG